GAUGAACGCUGGCGGCAUGCCUAACACAUGCCAGUCGAUCGGUAAGGCUCUUCGGAGUACACGAGAGGCGGACGGCUGAGUAACGCGUAGGAACACACCCUGCAGUGAGGGAUAAGACACCGAAAGGUGUUCUAAUACCGCAUACGGUCUUCGGAUUAAAGCAUUUAUGCGCUGAAGGAGUGGCCUGCGUCAUAUUAGAUAGUUGGUGAGGUAAUGGCUCACCAAGUCGAUGAUGUGUAGCUGGUCUGAGAGGAUGAUCAGCCAGACUGGAACUGAGACACGGUCCAGACUCCUACGGGAGGCAGCAGUGAGGAAUAUUGCACAAUGAGCGAAAGCUUGAUGGAGCAAUGCCGCGUGCAGGAUGAAGGCCCUCGGGUUGUAAACUGCGUUUAUAAGAGAAGAUUAUGACGGUAACUUAUGAAUAAGGGACGGCUAACUACGUG
rnacentral:rRNA from 1 species